CAGUGUGUAAAAGUGCUGACCCAUUACAUAUAAAGGUAAUAUUUCUGUCCUAAUCUUCCUUAGUGUUAUUUUGCUGUACUGGAGAUUUUUCUGGUCAGUGGGUUAGUCCAUGUAACAAGAAUUAAAAUCCGGGCUUUUUCUUUUUUUUUGGCUGCUUGACUUUGGUUCUUGGUAGGAGUUCUUAGAACAGUCUCCUUCAAAGAAUCUGGGGUUUCCUAAGCUAAUGCCACUUUAUAGCAAGACUUGAGGUCAGAAAAGAAAGUCUUUCCUUGCACACAAGAUAGUGUUGUUCAAAGUAAUUGAAGCCGUAGGUCUUAAAUAUAAAGCUGGCUAAUGCAAUUUGAUUAUUUUACUGCAGUUUCAAUGUAACCACCAAUGCUAGGUAUGAAUUUAAGUUUAUGACUGGCUCUUAGCUAUGUAUGUUGAAGGGACUGAUGAAUUACUUGGUUUCAGUAGCCCAAACUCUUUUAUUAAAAGCCAGGACUACACCUAAUGAGGGGGUCCAAUGGCUAUUUCUCUGGGAUAGCCUGAGGCAGCAGGUGUCAUGACACUACUGAUGCACAUCUGAGGACAGCUGACAGAAGUGCUAGGACCAACCCCCCACCGCCGACAUUCCCCAAGUUAGAUAAACAUAAAUAAAUAAAUAAAUAUAUAUAUAUAUAUUUCUCUUUCAGGAGGUGAGGCAUCCCUGUGUUGCCCAGGCUUGUCUUUAACUCCUGGGCUCAAGUGAUCCUCCCACCUUGCCUUGACCUCCCAAAAAGCUGGGAUUACAGGUGUGAGCCACCGUGCCCAGCUGGAUCCAGUUUCUUUCAGAACUCACAGGCUCUCAGAAUGUCUUUGCCUAAGAUAAGUAUUGAAUUCUGCCUAGAGUGGUGAGCAGUUCUAACUUGAUUCUUCCCUUGGACCAGAGAUUCUCUUCCCUUUCUUCCCCACUAAAUCUUGGGAGAACAGGAAACAGUUGGUGCUUCAUCUAUAUUUUGUGAGUUUUUGUGUGAAGGCCCCCCUUCUCAGGAGAUGAAAGUACUUCUUCCUCCAGUUUUACCCAUGGAAACAGAAAAUAAACCCAUCUCAAAGCUAAUGCACUUGGCUUAAUCAUUUAACCCCUGCAAGCUUGUUUUCUCAUUUAGGGAAUAAUAACAGUAUUUACCAAAGGUUGUCUUCAGGAGAUAAUUGAGCUACUUGUUCAUAAAACUCUACAACAGGGCUUGAGGUAGAGGAAUUCCUUAAUAAAGAUGAGUUACUGGGCCAGGCAUGGUGGCUCACACCUGUAAUCCCAGCGCUUUGGGAGGCUUAGGUGAGUGGCUAAUUUGAGGUCAGGAGUUUGAGAUCAGCCUGGCCAACAUGGUGAAACCCCAUCUCUUCUAAAAAUACAAAAAUUAGCUGGGCAUGGUGGUGUACACCUAUAAUCCCAGCUACUUGGGAGGCUGAGGCAGGGGAAUCACUUGAACCUGGGAGGCAGAGGUUGCAGUGAGCAGAGGUUGCAAUGAGUUGAUGCCAUUGUGUUCCAGCCUGGGCAACAGAGUGAGACUCUGUCUCAGAAAAAAAUGAAAAUGAGUUACACUUUUCUCUUUCUUAGUUUGCUUGGGAGAGGAGGACCGUCUGUGACAACCCCAUUGGAAGACAAAAAUCUACCAGGUCUAUUCCAGUGUUAGAUCUGCAACUUUAGCAUGCAUGGUGUCAUGAGGUUUCCCAAGUGACCAUCUACUACUGUUGUGGCCAGGACAUGGCAAGUUAACUGAAGAUCUAUUUAUCCAUGAUUCUGGCAAGGAAACUGAGGCUCAACGAAAUGAAAGAACUUAGCCUAUGUACUAUGUCAGCAGAACAGGGAUUUGAAUGCCAGAGGCAACACUGCUUCAGUUCAUUUCACAGCGCCUUGGAAGUAGAAAGAAAGAAAGAGGUUCAUGGGCAUAGUCUGGCCCUGCUAUGGACUCCAAGGUAAUAGCAACAUUUCUAUUUUGAUGUUCCCAUUAAAAUCUUAUCCUCUAGCUGAGGGGCCUGGCAGAAUGACAACUGUCACCCUCGAGCAGGCAUGUAAGUCAAGUGAUAAAUCACAUUCAGAGUUUGGGUUACUUCCCCUGCUUAGGGAAUGUGAGUGGCUCUGCCUAAUUCAACUUCAUCAGUUGGCACCAUUGCUACUCAGUGCUAACAGGAAAUUGUACUGAUUUAGCUGGUAAUAAGAGCUUCUCAAGCACUGUGGGUACUUGUUUAGGAGAAAGAUUGAAUUUAAAAACAUGCGCCUGAUUUUCUUUCAGCAGCUUUCCAAACAUCUGAGAAGAAAAUGUUCCAUUAUCAGGUAAUCUACAAGGAGUUGACGAUGGAAUUGAGCAACAUGGAAAUUGUCUCUGCUCUCUUGGGUUUUAGCCUUCAGUGGUGGAAGAUGUGAGAGAGACAGUCUUAGAUCAUGAGUCUCUCCCAGUUGCCCAGGUGAGAGUGUAAUGGCAUGAUCUUGGCUCACUGCACCCUCCACCUCCCAGGUUCAAGUGAUUCUCCUGCCUCGGCCUCCUGAGUAGCUGAGACUACAGGUGUGUGCCACCAUGCCUGGCUUUUUGUAUUUUUAACAAAGACGAAGUUUCACCAUGUUAGUCAGGCUGGUCUUGAACUACUGACCUCGGGAUCUGCCUGCCUCAGCCUCCCAAAGUGCUGGGAUUACAGCCAGGACACAAAUACAUGUAAUGAAAUUUUGAUGGCAACAUGACAACGUAGAAAAGAGCCCUGAACUGAAGAGCUCUGAAGAGUCCUAGGGGAGGAAACCUGAGGAGUCUAACAGUGUUACUUACCCAAGGGUGUGUAUUUUUAGAGAGGAAAUAGUUCCAUAGUAAUUUUAUUGAGCAUAUACCUUUUCUAGUUUUCGAAAAAGUCCUUAUAAAAAUCUGCAAAAAAGUAUCAUUAUCUAUUUUUAAAUUAAGAAAACCUGGCCAUCAAUGGAUGAAUGCAUUUUACAAAGGUGCUUUAUAUACCCAAUAGAAUACCAUUGAGUAUUAAAAGAGAAGAAAAUCUUGUCAUUUGUGACAAUGUGGAUGAACGUGGAGGACACUGUGCUGAGUGAAAUAAGCCAGGCAUAGAAGGCCAAAUACCACAUGAUCUCACUAAUAUGUGGAAUCUAAAAACUUUGAACUCCUAGAAGCAGGGAGUAGAAUGGCAAUUUUCAGAGGCUGGAGUUAUGGGAAAUGGGGAAAUCUUGGUCAAAGGGCACAAACUUUUAAUUUUUUGACAGGAGGAAUAAAUUUUUUGAGAUGUACUCCACAGCAUGAUGACUGUAGUUAAUAUAUCUAUCACAAUUGCUAAGAGUAAAUUUCAAAUGCUCUCACUACAAAGAGUGAUAAUUAUUUGAGGUGAUGGAUAGUAAAUUAGGUUGAUUUAAUAAUUCUGCACUCCAGCCUGGAUAACAAGAGUGAAACUCUGUAUCAAGAAAAAAAAAAAAAGAAAUAAAAUAAACAAUCUUCUUUUUGAAGAGCUGACAGCUUACAUUUUAGCAAAGAUAUUUAGAAAAUUUCUUAAUCAAGUGUAUGUUUGAACUUGAAGAAGUUUGAGGAUAAUGUUAAGACAACUUUCAAAUAAUUUUGGUAUAAAUCUACAUGAAUCAGAGGGUCAAUGGAAAAGGUACCAUUUAAGAUAUAUGAUACACAAAAGAUGAGUUUCACUAACGCGUCUGAGAGACCAUCAUGUAAUAUUUCUGAAAAUUAAUGGUUUGGUACUGUUAUAUUUGAGAGGCAUGAUGCUCAAAUUAGGGCAAACAAGUUGUUCAUUAAUAUUUGCAGAAUUUUAAUGUGUUUUGUAGAUAAUUACCAUCUUCUUUGUCUGAUACUAGUUUAUUCAUAUGAACUAGCUACAUUGGCUAUACAUCCUCAAAACAAAGACUAAUUUAACCUGGUAAUUUUUGUUUGUAAUACAGCACUAUUCUCAGAUUAACAAUUGGCCUGAGAUCUUCCAGUUAACCAUAAUUGUUGACAUUUUUAGAGGUGCUUAUAACUAGAAUAGUUUUUAAAAUUAUGUUGAUAAACUAUUAAUGCUAUAUUGAAUUUUAUGGUUGAAUUGGUUUAAGACUGCUUUUCAGUCUGCAGUCUGUACUGUAAUAUUUUUUAAAAGCCUCUAGAAAGCAGUUUGCCAGUUUCUCAUCAAGUUAAACAUAUACUUACCAUAUGACCCAGAAGUCAUACUCCUAGGUAUUUCUCAAGUGAGUUGAACAUUUAUAUUCACACAAAAACCUGCACAUAAAUGUUUAGAGCAGCUUUAUUCAUAAUCACUGAAAGCUGGAAAUGAAGAUGUCUUUCAGCAGGGGAAUGGAGGGAAUGGAUAAACCAACUGCGGUAUAUACAUUCAAUGGUACGUUACUAUGCAAUAAAAAAGGAUAACAAUUGAAUCCUGCAACAACAUGAUGAAUCUUAAGUGCAUUUUACUAAGGAGAAGAAGACAGAUGCUAAAGGUUACAUAUUGUAUUAUUUCAUUCAUAUGACAUUCUGGAAAGGCAAAAGUAUAGAGACAGAAAAUAGGUCAGUGGUUGCCAAGGGUUGGUGGAUUGGAGGAAUGGUUGACUACAAAGGGGACAUGCAGGAACAGUUUAGGGUGGUGGAACUAUUCUGCAUGGUAAUGGGUUGAUGGGUGCAUAACUGCAUUUUUUUUAAAGUCCAUCACAUGCAGUGAAAUUGAAUGUAUGCAAACUAUAAAAAAUCAACUUGGAUGUAAGAGAUCUUAGGAUGGAAGCAAGUGACUCUGACAGUUGUACUACAAAUAUACAACAUAACUUCACUAAAGGGUGUGAGUGCAAAAGAGCUAACCUAAGUAAGUUGAACAAAUAAGCAAAUGGUUGGUGGAUGGUGGGUACCAUGUUUCUCAUGAUUGGAGUGGGAGGUUACAGGUAAGCAAGAGGGGAAGGCUAGAAUGAACUCUGUGGGGCUGGAGUGGGAGACACCAGUAUAUCUGGUGUCUGGCUUGAUACAUACAUAGAUGGAAAAUCCUAGACAGAGAAAUCAGGUAAGAGAAAGAAAUAAAAGUCAUUCAAAUAGGAAGUGAAACUAUCUCCCUUCAAUGAAAAUGUGAUUCUAUACUUAGGAAAUCCUAAAGACUUCACCAAAAGGCUGUAAGAACUGAUAAAUGAUCUUAGUCAGAUUUCAGUAUACAAAGUCAAUGUACAGAAAUAAGUAGCAUUUCUAAACACCAAUAAUGGCAAGGCUGAGAAUCAAAUCAAGACAUAACCCCAUUUACAGUAGUCACAAAGAAAAUGAAAUACUUAGGAAUACAGCUAACCAAGGAGGCAAAAGAUCUUUAUAAGGAGGACUAUAAAACAUUGAUGAAGAAAUCAGAGACAACCCAAAUAAAUGGAAAAACAUUCUAUGCUCAUGUAUUGAAAGGAUCUAUAUUGUUAAAGUGUCCAUACUGCCCAAAGCAAUUUACAGAUUUACACUAUUCCUAUCAAAUUAUCAAUGACAUUCUUAACAGAAUUAGAGAAAACUAUUCUAAAAAUCAUAUGGAACUAAAAGAGAUCCUGGAUAGCCAAAGCAAUCCUAAGCAAAAAGAACAAAGAUAGUCACUGUACUACCCAACCUCAAACUAUAUUACAAAACUGGAGUAAUGAAAACAGCAUAGUACUGGUACAAAAACAGACAUAUAGAUCAAUGGAACGCCUACAACCAUCUGAUCUUUGACAAGGCUGAUGAAAACAAGCAAGGGGGAAAGGACUCCUUAGUCAAUAAUUGGUGCUGGAAUAACUGGCUAGCCAUACACAGAAGAAUGAAACUAGUCUCUUACCUUUUACCAUAUACAAAAAUUAACUUAAGAUAAAGAUUUAAAUGUAAGACCUCAAAUGAUAAGAAUCCUAGAAGGAAACCUAGGAAAUCCCCUUCUUGACAUUGGUUUUGGCAAAUAAUUUUUAGCUAAGUCACCAAAAGCAACUGCAACAAAAGCAGAAAUUGACAACUGGGACCUAACUAAACUAAAGAGCUUUUGCACAGCAAAAGAAAAUAUCAACAGCAUAAACAGACAACCUACAGAAUGGGAGAACAUAUUUGAAAGCUAUGCAUUUGACAAGGGUCUAAUAUCCAGAAUCUAUAAGGAACUUAAAUCAACAAGCAGAAAACAAAUAACCCUAUUAAAAAAUGGGCAAAGGACAUCAACAGACACUUCUCAAAAGAAAAGAUACAUGCCAUCAACACAGAUAUAAAAAUGAUCGUCACUAAUUAUGAAAGAAUGCAAAUCAAAAUCAUGAGAUACCAUUUCACGCUAGUCAGAAUGACUAUUAUAAAUAAGUAAAAAAAAAAAAAAACACAUGCUGGCAAAGCUGCAGAGAAAAGGGAACACUUUAACUCUGUUGGUGGGAAUAUCAAUUAGUUCAUCCACUGUGGAAAGCAGUUUGGAGAUUUCUCACAAACUUAAAACAGAGCAGCCAUUCAACCCAGCAAUCCAAUUAAGUAAUUAACUAAUAUGGGAAAUAUUUUAGAUGUGUGUAUAUAUUAUAUACAUGAUAAUAUAUAUACAUUAUCUGGCUCUGCCAGAAUGAAAAUCUAGAGACAUCAUUCAGGAGAGACAAGCACCCCAGUAAACAGAUCUUCGUUAUAAAUAUAAUUUUCCAAUUAAAUGAACCAGGGGUCCUUGGAGAAAUGGCUGGUUCUAGAAUUGGGCGAGAAAAAUUCAAGAUGAGUCUGGAGCAUCUUGUAGUACCAAAAAGUAAAAGAAAUUUAACGAUGGGAGCAUGUCAAUACAAGGCAGUACUCAAACUGAAGGAAUGCCCCAUGUCCAAAGCUGGACUAAUUUGAGCAACAAAAUAGCAUAAUUUAGAAAUGUAAUACGACAUAGAAAUUAUAUCUAUCUAUCUAUAUAUUAGAAUAGAUAUAUAUGAUUGAAUAAUAAUAGGGUAAAAGAGACAAAUCUUCCUGACAGAAAAAUUUCAAAUAAUUUAUAUAGAUACUUUCCUUCCCCUUUUUGAAUGUUGUUAGACUUACAGCUUUGCUCUGAAAGAAUAGAAUAGGAAAUGGAAAAAAAAAUGGUGAUUUUACAGUGGAGAAACCCAGCAAACUACCUUAACUAUAUGACCAAGGUUGACAUCACCAGUAAUGUCAUGUGCAUAUCAUGCUCCCCUAAUAAGUGUAAUGAGGACACUUCACUUCUGUGGGAUUCUUUCCUAAAACACAUAGUCCCAGUCUAGUGAUGAGAAAAGCAUCAGACGAAAUCAAGGACACUUUAAAAAAUACAUAAUCAAAACUCCUUUAAAAACUCUCAAGGUGGUGAAAAAUAAGGACGUUCUGAGAAACUGUCACAGACCAGAGGACAUUAAAGUGACAGUGACAUGAUAACACAUGUGGUUCCCUGGACUGUGUACUGGAAUAGAAGAAGAAUGCUACUGGGGAAAUUAAUUGAAGUCCAAAAAAAGUCUGGAGUUUAUUUUGUAGCAAUGCACUAAUGUUGACUUCUCCUUUUGACAAAUGUACCAUGGAAAUGUGAGAUGGUAACAUUAGGAGAAACUAAAACUGGGUAAGGAGUUUAUGAGAACUCUCUGUUACUAUUUUUGCAACUUUUCUGUAAACCUAAAAAUAUUUCAGAAGUAAAAAGUUUAUUUUAAAAGCAGCCCUGAUGUUAGAAUCUUAGUUAAUUAGUUAACAAAUGCAUUCAACACAUAGCAAUGUAAAACUUGCUGUGUCACUGAUACAGUAAUGAUUAGCAAGUCAGAUGCCAUCCCCAUCUUUCCAGAGCUUACAGUUUGGUGGUAGAUAAAGACAACAGGGAAGUUUGGAAUUAUUUAAUAAGUGCUUUGCAAAAGUGCCAGACGUUUUAAAAAUAUUUUUCUCCUAUAUUUAAAUUAAUAAAUCUGGCAUGUUAAAUAGAUCUUGGAGCAUGGUAAACAUAUUAGUCCUCAGAUAAUACUUCUGCUGAAUAUUUUCCAUAUCAGAUAAUCCUUAUGCUCUGAACAAUUUGCCAGGUUUGUUUUAGAUUUUUAUUAGAGAACUUUGGGAAUAUUCUUUAGUUUAUUAUAUUUUGCUCAGUGAUAUGGUUUGGCUCUGUGUCCCCACCCAAAUCUCACCUUAAAUAAACCCCAUGUGUCAUGGGAGGGACCUGGUAGGAGGCAGUUGAAUCAUGGGGGUGGGUUUUUUCCUGUGUUGUUCUCAUGAUAGUGAAUAAGUCUCACAAGACCUGAUGAUUCUAUAUCCCCUGCAUAUGUCCUAUUGCCUGCCACCAUGUAAGAUGUGCCUUUGCUUCUUCUUUACCUUCUGCCACGAUUGUGAGGCCUUUCCAGCCAUGUGGACCUGUGAGUCCAUUAAACCUCUUUCCUUAUAAAUUACCCAGCAUUGGGUAUGGCUUUAUUAGCACCAUGAGAACAGACUAGUAUGCUCAACAAAGAAUUCUUUUCUUAAAAAGUAGAGAGCUGUUUCCUUUUUCGUGUAAAAAAUGAAAAGUCAAACUAGAUUUGAUUUAAAAUAUUUUUUGAUUUUAAAUUUCAUUGAGCUUCGUCAAUUAUAUGCUACUUUCUUGGCUAUUUAUUAGAACAGUAAGGUUUACUUACUGAUCACAUAAAAACAAACAUCAUUUUUUUUUCAUCAUCAUUUCCUAUUUCUUCAGUUUAUUUCAGGUAGAAAAGUAUAUUCCAAAGAAGAAAGAUAUUCCCAUAGUGAAAAAAAAAACCCACAUAUAUUCACUUAGGCAGGCAAUACUUUUCAAAAAAAUGAGAAGCCUUGUUACCAUUAUAAAAAGUCUGGGACCCAAAAUGCAGCCCACUAAAAUCCUAAACUCUGUACUUGCCAAGCCUCAUCAGCUUUCCUUAGCUCAAAAACCUCAGGAAUGGGUAUCUUAAAAGGAAAAGCUUUUUGUGGAUUUGUAAAGUCUCACUACAGAGAAAUUCACCUCAGUCAGAAAGAUCUUGUGGGUAAAAGUCAAGAUUCAUUUGCGAAGGCUGGCUGGGAGACAUUUCAUGUCUCUCUUUUGCUGAGAAGUAAUCUCACAAAGAAUUUAUAGUCUAUGGCUGCACAUAAAGGUGGCUUCUUUGAGGGGUCCACUUUGGUAUGUACUUCGAGAGGAGAGGAUGGAGGCUGAAUGUAAAACACUGUGGCUGAUUUCAACAUCUGCUCCUAUAGUUACAAAGAACCAGAGGCUGGACUCUAAAGCAAGAAUGGAAGGUCACAAGUCAGAAGUUUCUGAGAAUGUGUUGGACAAGGAGUGGGUCGGGAAAACAACUGAAUUUCCUCUAAAAAAAAAAAAGAUAUCUCUUUGAUGUCUGGGUAUUUGGUAAAUUAAAAAAAAAAAAGAAAAAAAAAAAGACAACAGAAAA